rnacentral:rRNA from 1 species
GACGAACGCUGGCGGCGUGCUUAACACAUGCAAGUCGAACGGAAAGGCCCUGCUUUUGUGGGGUGCUCGAGUGGCGAACGGGUGAGUAACACGUGAGUAACCUGCCCUUGACUUUGGGAUAACUUCAGGAAACUGGGGCUAAUACCGGAUAGGAGCUCCUGCUGCAUGGUGGGGGUUGGAAAGUUUCGGCGGUUGGGGAUGGACUCGCGGCUUAUCAGCUUGUUGGUGGGGUAGUGGCUUACCAAGGCUUUGACGGGUAGCCGGCCUGAGAGGGUGACCGGCAACAUUGGGACUGAGAUACGGCCCAGACUCCUACGGGAGGCAGCAGUGGGGAAUAUUGCACAAUGGGCGGAAGCCUGAUGCAGCAACGCCGCGUGCGGGAUGACGGCCUUCGGGUUGUAAACCGCUUUCGCCUGUGACGAAGCGUGAGUGACGGUAAUGGGUAAAGAAGCACCGGCUAACUACGGG